GGAUGUGAGAGGGCAAUCUGGCUGCGACAUCUGUCACCCCAUUGAUCGCCAGGGUUGAUUCGGCUGAUCUGGCUGGCUAGGCGGGUGUCCCCUUCCACCCUCACCACUCUAUGUGCGUCCCUCCCCAAGCUGCGGGCUCGGUCGAAGAGGACGGCCUUCCCCGAAUAGAGAAGGACAGGUCAGUCGAGGGUAUACGAGUA
rnacentral:snRNA from 1 species